AUUAUCUGAAAAGGUUCCAUGAAAUUCUGUUAUGUGGUUUGAGAGGAGUUGCGAUGACAAAAGGUUGCAGUAGUAUAUUGGGCAAAUAAGUUCAAAGGGGCUUAACUCCUGGAAAAAAAAUUGAAUCGUAAUUUCCUGUCGAUAUGCACAUUCACAUAGUAUGUCCUUAUUAUCUGAAAAGGUUUCAUGAAAUUCUGUUGUGUGGUUUGAGAGGAGUUGUGAUGACAAAAGGUUGCAGUAGUAUAUUGGGCAAAUAAGUUCAAAGGGGCGUUACUCCUGGAAAAAAAAUUGAAUCAUAAUUUCCUGUAGAUAUGCACAUCUACAUAGUAUGUCCUUAUUAUCUGAAAAGGUUUCAUGAAAUUCUGUUGUGUGGUUUGAGAGGAGUUGUGAUGACAAAAGGUUGCAGUAGUAUAUUGGGCAAAUAAGUUCAAAGGGGCGUAACUCCUGGAAAAAAAAUAGAAUCGUAAUUUCCUGUCCAUAUGCACAUCUACGUAGUAUGUCCUUAUUAUCUGAAAAGGUUUCAUGAAAUUCUGUUGUGUGGUUUGAGAGGAGUUGCGAUGACAAAAGGUUGCAGUAGUAUAUUGGGCAAAUAAGUUCAAAGGGGCGUAACUCCUGGAAAAAAUA